UUGCGCAUGGGCGAAGCCUGACGCAGCGACGCCGCGUGGGGGAUGAAGGCCUUCGGGUUGUAAACCCCUUUCACGAGGGAAGAAAAUGACGGUACCUCCAGAAGAAGCCCCGGCCAACUACGUGCCAGCAGCCGCGGUAAUACGUAGGGGGCGAGCGUUGUCCGGAUUUAUUGGGCGUAAAGGGCUCGUAGGCGGCUUGACAAGUCGGCCGUGAAAACCCAGGGCUCAACCCUGGGACGCCGGUCGAUACUGUCAUGGCUAGGGUCCGGUAGAGGAGAAUGGAAUUCCCGGUGUAGCGGUGAAAUGCGCAGAUAUCGGGAGGAACACCAGUAGCGAAGGGGGUUCCCUGGGCCGGCACCGACGCUCAGGAGCGAAAGCGUGGGUAGCAAACAGGAUUAAAUACCCUGGUAG
rnacentral:rRNA from 1 species